rnacentral:rRNA from 1 species
AUCUAUGGCCAUGCCACCCUGAACGUGCCCGAUCUUGUCUGCUCUCGGAAGCUAAGCAGGGUCGGGCCUGAUUAGUGCUUGGAUGGGAGAGCACCUAGGAAGACCAGGUGCUGUAGGAG